AACGUAGGUGGCGAGCGUUAUCCGGAUUCAUUGGGCGUAAAGAGCUUGUAGGUGGCGGCGUAAGUUGGACGUGAAAUCGCCCGGCUCAACCGGGCGGGGUCGUUCAAUACUGCGCGGCUGGAGGAGGUCAGAGGGAAGUGGAAUUCCUGGUGUAGCAGUGAAAUGCGCAGAUAUCAGGAAGAACACCCGUGGCGAAGGCGGCUCUCUGGGACGGUACUGACGCUGAGACGCGAAAGCGUGGGGAGCGAACAGG
rnacentral:rRNA from 1 species